GGCAUCCUUUACAAUUGUUCCAGAAACCCACGUGCUCAGUCAAGUGUGCACACAAGCUCUCACAUGUGAACGGCAUGGUUCUGUUUGUGGUUGGCCAUCGUGAGAAAAGCACACAGCGAGAUGAGUCAUGUGCUGAUCCAGACGCAGCCAAGAGUACAACGCGAGAACCGCUCGACCUCAUUGUGUUUCCACUCCAAUAAAUUGCAAUAUAACAACAGAAAAUGUUGCAAAUUUUGGGCACGCAAAAUCUUUGUUGGUGUUCCAGGUGUUUUGUGUGGCUUGCUGUUAAUUCAUAUUAGUGGUCUUGAUUGUGUUCUCAAUGAUCACCAUUACCGCGGGUCAAAGUGAAUGGUUCGGGAAAACAGGGUUCAAUAUAUAGGCAAGGAUCAUGUAAGGAUUAUAGAACACACCCAAUCAACAAAGUUCCUUACCUAAUCAGAGAUCAACUACUAUAAUACCCUAGAGGCAGCCCAGCCACCAGGCGUGGGCGCCAAGGGCCAUGGCCGGCCCUAUAGGCGCUAGUCUAACAGGGGGAAUGUCCUUUUUUAUGGAAUGUAGACAAUGACUAUGACCCAUAUGA
rnacentral:lncRNA from 1 species